UGCCGCAGCCUUCCCCGCCCGCCGUAGCCACCUCCGUCGCAGGGAUGCAGACCAACGUCAUCUCUCCCCAACCUCGCCCCUCCCAACGUCAUCGAGCUCCCCACACAUCUCGAACUCAGACUCGGAGAAGAGUCCAUGUUGCGUGCGUCUUGGAGUUGUGUCCGAGGAGGAGAUGUUCAGGAGCACGGAGCCGUCCGAUACACCGAAAUUGAUGAUAUAAGAAGGAACCCCUCGACCAGGAUUAGAUUGCAUCGAAAGUUUCUUGCCCGACAUCGCCGCGUUACAAGUUUCCGACAUCGCCGUUCAUGUACGCCGUCGAUUUCGCCGAAGAUCCGUCUGCACGUGCUCCACCGCCCGCCGGAAUUUCUCCCGGUCUGAGGGUAGCCUGUAGUUCCUGCCGAGUCACAGAGUAACAUUGAGGUGAGGAGGCGGCGGCCAGCACAAGCCCCAGGAGCUGCAGUGGGGCUACGAGAACGGCGACAACAAUGACUAGCGGCGGCCAGGUCUUGGUGGCAUGACAUCCUCCUUGCCCAUCAUAAGGUACUUCUCCACCACCCAGUGUGGGUGACGACGCGGCAGCGGUCGGCCAGCACUCGUGGCGGCGCUUGCCCAUCUGACGUGAUGUCGGAUUGGCGGCUCGGGCACUCGGCACUCGGCAUAGCGACGUUUACGAUGUCUCUCUCUGGACAGGGUGGAACUCGUGCAUCCGGCGUGGCUGAUGCAUCUGUGCAGCACUACGGAUCGCUGUGGGCACGACGACCUGAUGGCGCGUGCGAUGCGACGGCGGCCAGCGGUGUGGCACUGUAGUUGUCUCUGGAAAGCUGACGUGCGAGACUUGGGAGGCGGUGGGCGAGACAUCCACCGGGGUUGACUGGAUGAUGAGGUGACUACUGGAUGACCAGGUGCUCAUGGAGGACUCGGUGAAUCAUGAAGCGGAUCGAGGAGUUCACUGACGCGCAUGUAUGACGGCUUUUCAAAUUUCAGAGGUACGACGCACGGGCUCCAAUGCUUUACUAAACUGAAUCUUCUAUGCUUCUAAAGUUUGCUUCUCUAGACUUUAUGGGGAAGGUGAAAUCGAUUAUUCUUGUACGACACUCAAAACAAAUUUUCUGAUCCUUUUGUCCGAUCAAUGUUAAGACCAGAUUAGUUCAUGUAACUUUCUCAUUCAGCCCUCACCAGUUUCAGAGGUUGCAGUACGAGCAUGCGGAAAGGAUGCACUCUAUGGUGUUCUUCCUGAUAGAUGUACUAAUGGACAUGAUUUGUCUCUAUCUAAAUACUAAGAUUGAGUUCACACGUGCAGGUGAUGCAAAGGCUAAUCUUCUUUCACAUGUUUAUGUCGUCUUUACCACUGAAAAUUUGUUUCCAAUUUGUUCAGUUCCAGCUAUACCACUUUGUUUAUGCAAUUAACUGUAAAUUGUCGGGUAUUGAGGGUCCCCUUACUGUUUAUGUCCUAGCCAGUCCACAGGAUUAUGAUCGUGGUCGUGUGAUAUUUGUGAUGUUCUUUACACUGAUUCAAUGCAAGUGAUGUGUGUUCUUGUCCUUUUGAAAUUUCUUUUAUCUCAGGUUCGAUCUUCUUCUUAUUGAACAAAUAAAAUUCACACUUGGAUGGAAGGAUUUGUGAUUCAGAAAUAAAUGUUUUAUUUUGUAGAAAUACAUAUUUAGAUUUGGUUAGUUUAUCCACAAACCCACGUGCGUAGAACUAAAGCAUGUUCUUUUCUUCAUGUAGUUGUGUUAAGAACAGGGAGGGCAGAGAUUUUGUCUACUGAUGGUUGCAGAACAUAAUAUGAUUACUUUGUUGCUUCAGUUGACAUUCCUCCUCUCUGAUGUUGUCCUGUCUAAGUUGAGUUAGGUCAGUGGUUUAGAAACUUAGAAUCUUAUUUGCACACCCAUACAAAAUAUAUAUAUAUAUAUAUUUAAACAUCCAUUCUCACAAAGCAUGUCAAUAUGCCAGCAUGCAUAUGGCUAACAUCGCAAGUAGGGGAUCUGCCAAAUAAAUGAUGAUGAUUUUCUAUAAUAAAGGUCUGCCAAAUGAAGUUCCUAAUAUUCUGCUUUUAGGUGUUAUUAUUUUCUAUCAUAUAUUUCUUUUAUCUGGUCAAAUCACAUUGUAAAUUUUCAUAUAUGGUCCACCAAAUAAAUGGCUUGAUUUUUGGGAGAUGUUUUGUCUAUUUUUCUCUUUUUAACCAACAAUGACUUCUUGUAUACGGUAUAAGGGAUAAGUAUAUUUUUCGUCCUCGAACUGUUUGCAAAGUUGAGAAAUCAUCCCUCAACUCCAAAACCACCAAAAGUCAGUCCCUGAACUAUUUAAACCGGAUACUUUUCGUCCUUCAACUAUUUAAACCGGAUACUUUUCAUCCCUCAUAACGCUUAUGGUGGUUUUACUCUAAUUUGGACCAUGUUUUGAUUGAAACAGGCCACUUUGACUGGUUUUGACUACGACGCCAAUUAAGUGUUUGUGCAUGAGUAUGUGUGUGCGCGUGUGUACAAGUGAGAACAAGGGAAAAGGAAAGUGUUUGCACUUCUACUUGUGUGUGAACAAGAGAAAGGCAGCUGUACUGAAUAUAGCUUAAGAAAAUCUGAAUAUAACUGAACAUCAUUUGCAGCUUCUCAAUCUUCAUUUGCAGGCUCAUUUGAGUUACCAGCAGUGAUUGCAAGACAAUCAGUAGGUGCAGAACUAGCGAAUGCGACAAAAUGAUCUCUACCUCUCCCUGAUUCACUACUAGCAUUUGGACCCAUCAGAAGCUCAACGUCAUUUCCCGGAUCCCUGUCGUGUUCGUCAUUUUCAGAAUUUGGAUAUAGCUGCACGUAUAUUUCAGCUACACUUCCAACGGCAACAUAAUUUUGCAUACCAAAACUCUGAACAGAUCAACCAGCAACCGGGGGCCUCAAUCACCGCCGCCCAUGAGUGAAUCAUUGUCGUUGUCGCCGCCGCCGCCCAGGACUGGUUUUGCUCAAGGUCGCCGCCGCCGUGCCCUGGCAGCCACCACCACAGAAGCCCAGCUCAGCCAACAAUCACCGGCUGGCCACACCGCGACCACCGUUGUUGCCACGCCUCACUGCCGGCCGCCGCCGCCGCUCUGUUUUGGAUUCGUGAAUGGGAAAGAUCGAGAGAAUGGGAGAGCGAGAGAGAGUAGGCGGGUGCCCGUUGUAGUCGAAACCAGGCCACGUGGUUCUUUUUAGUCAAAACAGGGUCAAGUCACUGUAAAACCACCUUAAACCUUAUUAGGGACGAAAAAUAUCCGGUUUAAAUAGU